GAUGAAGAACGUAGUGAAAUGCGAUAAGUAAUGUGAAUUGCAGAAUUCAGUGAAUCAUCGAAUCUUUGAACGCACAUUGCGCCCGCCAGUAUUCUGGCGGGCAUGCCUGUUCUAGCGUCAUUUCAACCCUCAAGCCCCAGCGGCCUGGUGUUGGGGACCGGCGACCUCGCCCGAGCCCGCCCUCCGGGGCGCGUGCCCGGUGCGUCCGCCGCCCCCGAAAUGAAUUGGCGGCCUCGUCGCGGCCUCCUCUGCGUAGUAGCACAACCUCGCAAGCGGGAGCGCGACGCGGCCACUGCCGUAAAACGCCCAACUUUUUUAGAGUUGACCUCGGAUCAGGUAGGAAUACCCGCUGAACUUAAGCAUAUCAAUAAGCGGAGGA
rnacentral:misc_RNA from 1 species